rnacentral:lncRNA from 1 species
AUGGGCAAAAAACUCUUCACAUGGUUAUCGUUCUCUUGUUGCUUUUUUGUUCUGAAAGGGUCAUGCUGCAACUUCUUCCCCUGCUAAGAACUGUACUGGGCUUUCCGGCACUUGACAGGUAUUCAGUUUAAACUGGUUUUAAACGAUUUAAUGGUGGUGCCCAUAUUUGGCUGUUAAUUUACAGUUCUCUGCAGCUAUGUUGCUUUAGAUGUCACU